UACCAGCACCCCGAGUGUUCGGGACGAUUAUUGGGCAUAAAGCAUCCGUAGCCGGUCAUGCAAGUCUUCCGUUAAAUCCAGCCGCUCAACGGUUGGGCUGCGGAGGAUACUACGUGGCUAGGAGGCGGGAGAGGCAAGCGGUACUCAGUGGGUAGGGGUAAAAUCCUUUGAUCCAUUGAAGACCACCAGUGGCGAAGGCGGCUUGCCAGAACGCGCUCGACGGUGAGGGAUGAAAGCUGGGGGAGCAAACCGG
rnacentral:rRNA from 1 species